UUAAAAUUAAGGUAUGGAUUGUCUUUUAAGUACAUUAUUUUUGAGUGCCAAGCAUGACACUUAGCAGUCAAAGAAACUGAAGUGAUACAGCACAAGGGCACAUGCAUUCUUCAGUUCUAGUUUAGGAGCUGAUUUCACUUAAAUGCUGAACAGCCAGCCCAGUACAACAGUAUUAGUCAGCCUGCUUUUUAUGUUUGGUGACAAGCAUUUUUUAUGUGAUCUGUCUGUUAAUAUGUUUAGUAUCUGCAAACUGCUCAAGUAUAUUAUUUUAUGCCUAUAUGGGGGGGGGGGGGGGGGGGGGGGCGGGGAGGGAAGGAAACUAGAUGAGGAGGUGUUCUUGUAGCAUGAAAAGAAACAACCUAAAUAAGACUAGGGAUGGUUAUGAAAGAGGAUGCUGAAUUCUUGCACGCCCUACAAACACCUACGUUAUUUAAUCUGUUUAUAAAUAGUCUCCAUCCAAAGAUCUGAGAGUACUUUACAAUACUAGUCAGUUCUUGCAGGAUCCUACUUGGGGAAGUGAUUUCUUACCACAGCCGCAUACAGUCGGUUUCAUAGGCUGAGGUUAAUUGCCCAGUAUCACAGAGUGGCCAGUGGCAACGCCAAAAAUAAAUAGAGUUAAGUCUGCUGCUCGGAUGAAAAUGUAACAAGAAGCAAGGAGCACAAUGUCUAUGCUGAAGGACGUACUGUAUAGAGCUACCUUUACCAGUGCACAUCAGACAGACCAGCAUGGACAGUUUGAAUUAUAUCACAGUAAACAAGUCCUUUGUUUUGUAGUUUUUCUUCAGGCAUUGUGACACAGCACCUACAGUUCUGCAGGUGGUUGCUCAAGCCCACAAUGCUGUCCUCCAACGCAGAGACGCCUGAUCACAGAUGCUGGCAGAAGGACUGAGCCUGUAGGGCAGCAUCCUCUAAAGGAAAGGCAGUGAUAAACCCACAGUAAAUCACAAUGGGAUGUUUGUUUCCAGGAGAUCUGUCUUCACUAACCUAAUAAUACUAGAUGAUGAAAGUAGCCUUGUUAUGUGCAGUAUUGUUUAUGUAACAAAUGACAGACCAUUUAUUUUGGCUGAAAUAUGUGCCCUCUCCUCGUCGUUAAUAAGUUUAAAUGCAAGCAUGCUGUCUCAGCAAAUCUCUCCCUAAAGUACUACUUUUGCAUUUCUUACUAGUAAAUGCUUUACAGCUAACAUCUGCCCAUUCUAAACAUUGCCAAUAAAAUUAGGGCAAUUAGAAGCAAAAGCUGGUAUAUUUUGUACACAUCAACCAGCAGUGGUCAUUUAAUAUUGUGUUAUUGCAAUAUGUAUGCUUGAAGCACGGAUCAAGUAAUCUUCACAUCCACAGCUACAAACAAAGCUCUGUGACCUGAAAGGUGAGUCUGUGGAAGAGAUGAUGAAGCUACCACCAGAAUGUAUGCUCCCUGAUCUCUUUUGUGUUCCCUCCUCAUCAUUAAUGUGGCUCUCACGGAAAGGCAGCGAGGUAGUACAAAGGACCCGGCUGUGCAACAUGUUCCUUCCCUUUUCAUCAACUCAACAGAAGCUGCUUGUGUAAAGGUGAGCAGGGGAUGAUGCCAACCAGAAGCCAUAAAGGAGCGAGGUAACUCCACAUCUUGCAGCCUUUCAUUGGUGUAACACUUACUGUAAAAGUCAGCUUUUAAUACAUUGAUUGCUGGGCAAGUGCUGCACUGUAAUACAGCACCUCCUGACACGAAAUUUGCCUUUUGUAUGUACUGUAGGAUGGGCUAUGAAUAUGCGUUAUCACAGUCUGUUCUGUGACACAGCGUACAAGGAGGCUCCAGCAGUUUACUUGAGCUGUCAACUUGAGGAGUAUUAUAGAAGAAACAUUAGUUACAUCUCUAAAUACCAUGCAGUUUUGGGAGCAUCAGUCAGCGUGAGCAUCAUGCCAAGAGACCCCAGUGUCCUGGCAAACUGUUGGACCAGGAGUUUAUCAUGGCAUUGGUGCUGAGUUCCAGAGGGAUAAUGUCAUGCUGCAGCUCAAAUAAAGGCACUUUAAGAAGGGAGAGAAGAACUGUGUACGUAAGAGAAAACUGAGAGACAGCAAAAUGAAAGGGGAAAAAUGUUAACAGUCUAGCAGGCUUGGUGAGACCACGGUGAGUAGAACUGUCAGUCUUCAGCCAUCUCUGGAACAGGCAUAAACAGAAAGAAAAUCUAAGGUUGGCCAGCUCUGGUGUACAGCAGUUCAGUCCUAACUCUGCUCACAGCAUCACAGUUACCACGACAUACAGACUACUUUCUUUUGCAUCUAGAUAGAUUGAAAUGCCACCCAGAUCACAAAAGAGAAGUGUACCAGUGACUAAUAAUAGCACGAUAUAAACAUGAUCUCUCCAAAAUAUUUGAUAGUUACGUUGGAAUACGUUAUGUCACAACAUACCUACAAAGCACAGAAAGCAGUAUUGCUGACAGAGUACCCUCUCAUGGUCCCAGGGGAAGCCCACCCCUUCCUCUGGGUUUCUCUUAGUGCCGGUGGUGGACACUAAGACACUUUUUCCUCGCCUGUUGAGCUCUGUGGAGGUUUGGUGACAAACUCCCUGUCUCCCAACCUCUGUUGCUUUAGUGUCCCCUUCUCCUCAUACAAGGCUUAUCUCCUCUCUGCCAAGGGUCUGUGGCAGCUUCAGGCAUGUCCAGGCUGCUGAACGCCACCUCCAGCUCUAUUCUAAUAACUAGAUUAUACCUAGUUAUUUAAAUGAAUGUAACUUUUAAAUCGGCUUACAAAUAUGGGUAUAGUAUAAAAUGAUGCAUAUAUGGAAUAAGUCCCAUAAGAUGUUAUUUUUGUUAGCUUCUGAAAUAUAACAGGAUCUAUAUUGCUGAGACCCUUGCUUCUUAGGGAAAUACUCAUGCCAUCUGCUGGGAAGUUAUGGAAUUCUGCAAGUAAUCUUUCACUAGCAUUUUUUCCUUUUUUUUUUUUUAAGUGUUAAAUUCUUGCACUUUUUUUUGGUAAAGAUCUUUGGGUAAAUGUAAUAUAGCUCAAAGGCACUUACGUCAGGAGGUCUGGCAACUGAUAGCACCUUUUUGUAUGCUAAGAAGGUAUGAAACAAUUUACUGGCAUAAUUUGGUACUGUUUAUGUGAGCUUAACUCUUUCAAGGCAUACACCAUCUCAGUUUAACUUAGUUUUCACUUGGAUGUGCAAAAUUAGUAAAUGUUUUCUGAAAUGGCAAAGUUAACAUAGUUGCACUCCAGUUCUCUGACUUGUAGCAUGAGAAUAACAAGCAGCUGCUGUGGCAUUUCUGGUGGACAUUCUGGGUGUUGGAGUAACAUGAAUACCACCACAUAAACAUAUCCAAUGAAACCACUAUUUACAGAACUAGUGCUAGGAUCAGAAUGAGUAUGGUCUUUUACCAAAAAGAUGUUGAAUAAACAGAGGCAGCCUGUAGAAAAAAUAGUCUUCUGUCAAACAGUUAUUAUAAGACAUACAUGAGAUGAAUGUAAAUCAUAAUCAAUUUUAACUUAAAUAUUUUGUUAGCAUUUCCUUCUCUUUAUAGCUUUUUGAAGUUUUGUUGAUUUGUUUUGAGUAAAUAUGUACAGUUUUUUUGUUGUUGUUAGUGUUGUGUAAUGUGAAUGACAGUCAGACUGAGCUGCAGCAUUUCAUGAGUUCAGUUCAACGUUUAUAUAUCCAGCUUCGAUUUUUCAGCACCCUCUAGAGUAAGCAGGAAGCUUUGACAGCCUUUGUCUCCAUCUCAGGCAGCUGAGGAACUCUGUUUUUCUUUUUCCCUUUGUGUUGGACUUCCUGAUACUCUAACCAUUUAAAAAAUAAUUAUGAAAGUAUUGGAAAG